rnacentral:lncRNA from 1 species
AGCAAUACUGAAAUUUGGUUCAUUUGUUGCGACAAAGUUAUGAUCUAUGUUGCUCUCUGCAUCCAUGGUACCUUCCAAGACUUUGACUACCUCGGACAUUUUAGGCCUUUUUUUGCAGUCAAUCUGCAAACACCACAUCGCUAGCUUCAUCAUCUGGAUUACAUCUCGCUCGUGUGCUUGCAUGUCAUUACUGCUCUUGUCAAUCAAAUCUUCCAACUGAUUCUUCUCCACCUUUUCUUCCAAUAGGGUAAUAAGAUGGAUGCUCUCUUCAGACAGGGAAGUGUCGAGGUUCUUUCUUCCGCUCACGAUUUCCAUGACCACAACGCCAAAGCUAUAGACAUCGGCCUUCUCCGUGAUUUGUGAUGUCAACCAUUCAGGGGCGAGAUAUCCAGGUGUGCCUCUCAUUCUUGUAAUCACUUGGCUCAUAUCCCUAUCAAUGAGCUUGCAUAGACCAAAAUCAGAGAGUUUAGCAUUGAAGUCGUCAUCUAAGAGGAUGUUUUGUGGUUUGACAUCCAAAUGAGCAAUUCUCUUCAUGCAAUCCUCGUGAAGAUAAGAUAGACCCUUAGCUAUGUCAGUGAUAAUCUUGCAUCGCACCCUCCAUUCUAACGGAGGAGCACUAUUUUCAUGUCGACCAUAGAUCCACCUGUCCAAGGAUCCUUUUGGCAUAUACUCAUAAACCAAGAGCCUAUGGGAUUUCUCUGCACAGAAACCAAACAGCCUCACCAGAUUGAUAUGAUGAAUGCUGCCGAUUGUCUGAACCUCCGCCAAGAAUUCUCUCUUCCCCUGACCAGCUCGAUCCAAACGUUUUACCGCAAUCCUUUCCUCGCCUAGCUGCCCCUCGAAAACAGACCCAAAUCCUCCUUCCCCGAGCUUGUCCUUGAAUUGCUCUGUUGCUGCUUCUAACUGUUGAAACGUAAACCUCAUUGGCGUUCCUUGUAGCUGACUGAAGUCUGCCUCCUCUUCCUCCAUCUCCUGGUGUCGUCGUGUUCUUCUUCGACGUAUGAUGAAAAAGAUGAAUGUGAUAAUUAAAACUAUGGCACCUGCAAUUGCAACUGAAACAAAAAUGCCUACUGAGGGUCCUUUGCGUAGUGGCCUAAGAUCAGCUGAGUUAGGAGGACUUGGAGGUGAAGACGUUAGAUUGAUUGGUGGGCAAAAGAUGACCUGGUAGUUGGUAUCCAAUGGACAACUGAAUGAAGUUUCCGUGACAGCAUCACUGGAGUAACUUAUUGCCUCCGGGCACAUCCGCACAAAGAAGGCCGAGUAUUUGUUGGAUUCACAGGGUGUCAUAGAGCAGCAGUACAAAUUGGACUGAGUUUUGAACACAUCGCAUGCGCUGUUGCAGCCUCCCGGCACCUUGAGCUCGCUCGGACACUGUGACGUGAUGUUGGCCCCACACUGCGGCCCCUUUGUGCACCCUGAUCCCCCUUGCCCCUUGACCGGCAUUGGCAAGAACUCCAUUGGUACGUUGAAGCCCUGGUAGAGGGAGAUACCGAAGAAACUGUUGUUGUUAUACUGGUUGAGCGAGAAUUGAGCAGACGUGAUGGGUGCCUGGCCAUAUGUCUUGCAGGCGAGCAAGCCUUCGCAGUCGCCUGUCUGGCAUGACCCAUUGCCUUUGCCGUCAAACGAGCAGCCUGUGCGCGCCCACACACUUCCUCCACGGGUGUCAGAAGGCACCUGGAGGGUCCAUGUCUUCCCUGAGUCCAGCCGCAUGCCGCCACCCUCCGGCAGAGCGGCCGGCCAUACAGUGUAUGGGCAUUGGUUGGUGAUGUUGACUAUGGUUUGGGUGGUGACGAAUGGCAGGAGCAGGAGGCGGAGCAAGAGGAGGAGGGGAGGUGGGUGGUGGAGACUCAGGGAGGAGGUACCCAUAACUGCCAUCUGUGUCAGUCUGGUAAUAUGACCCCUCUUGGAUGAGAUGAUAAAGGAGGGAUGGAAUGGAGGUCUAGAUCAGUGUAUACUUGUAUGAUAUCUGCAUGUUGAAAAUGUUCAACGGUCUACGGUCAACAGCGUAUGGCCUAACUCACUGUUAGCUGUCCUCCGAUACAAACAGUUUGACAGGCCAACGACUUGAUUGCUGCUUGUGUUAGAUGUUUACUUCUUAGCUCCUUUCAAGCUCUUGUUGAACAUCCUUACCAAGUUACCAUACAUGCAAACUGUUGACAAUACAUAUUUUUUGCUUACGACAGCGCGAACAUAUCGUCGACAUAUUUUUUUUGUGAAAGAAAGCUUUUACUGUAUUACUCAAUGAUAUAUUUUUGCUUCAGGUGUUCAUUCCUGGUCUAAUCUGAUGCAUAUGCUCAUGCUGCGUCAGCCAGAUCACCUGUAACACUGGACCCUGGAGGGGCACUGGGGGCAGCAACGCGAAGGCUAUAAUCUGUGGGGUCGAGAUCACUAUGGAACAGGAUCAUGGGGGCCGGCGAGCUGAGCUUGGUCAGCGGCAGCGGCAGCUGCGUCGAAGCAGCUUGAGGAGUGGAGGUCAACAAUGGCGGCAACUCUUGGGUGGUGGGCAGAAGGCCUCGUGCAUUAUUUUUGUGGUUGGGAUGUUGGCACUUGGCACGUCAUAUUCAACCAAUCUAUCUCGAUUACAAGUUGUCAUGUAAUCCAAGCUUUUUGGAAGUGAAAGAUGUGGAGGAAUGGAGCUCAUCAAGGCCACAAAAGAAAGCAUGUUGUAGAUCACCAUUCAGCAGCCCGUUCGUUGGGGAUAAUAGUCUCUCUUCGCGACUAUUUUUAUCUGGAGCAUGCUUACACUCAAACAUAAAUUAUGUCAUGGAUGCUGUAUAAAAAAACUCAUUGGGAACGGUGGAAUGAAAUUCAGCAACAACUGAUAUUCAGAGGAAAGGAAAACUAAGAACCUGAAACAAAAACGGUUCAAAUGAUUUGAAGUACUGUCAUUUCAUGAAAAUAGUAAUUGUAU